UACGAAGGGGGCUAGCGUUGCUCGGAAUUACUGGGCGUAAAGCGCACGUAGGCGGCUUUCUAAGUCGGGGGUGAAAUCCUGGAGCUCAACUCCAGAACUGCCUCGAUACUGGAAAGCUCGAGUCCGGGAGAGGUGAGUGGAACUGCGAGUGUAGAGGUGAAAUUCGUAGAUAUUCGCAAGAACACCAGUGGCGAAGGCGGCUCACUGGCCCGGUACUGACGCUGAGGAGCGAAAGUGUGGGGAGCGAACAGG
rnacentral:rRNA from 1 species